rnacentral:rRNA from 1 species
AUGGCGCCGUCGACGGAGACGAAGGAUUUCAACGUUGCUACGUCAGUGCUUCCGACACACUUCAUUCUCGUCCCCCUCGUGGCGCAGGGCCACACCAUCCCGAUGGUGGACCUUGCACGCCUCCUCGCAGGACGCGGUGCGCGCGUGAGCGUGGUGACCACACCCUGGAACGCCGCGCGCCUCCAGGGCAUCGCCGACUCUGCACGGCGCGCCAAGCUGCCCCUAGACAUAGUCGAGCUCCCGUUCGCGCCGGCCGACGACGGGCUGCCCCCAGGCUGUGGCGACGACAUCGACACGUUAGUCCCCAUGUUCCAGGCCCUCCACAGGCUCGCCGGCCCCUUCGAGGCCUACUUACGCGCGCUGGGGCGGCGGCCGAGCUGCAUCAUCUACGACAGGGCUAACGCGUGGACUGCCGGCGUGGCCAGGAGCGUCGGGGUGCCGCUGCUCUUCUUCCACGGCCCUUCCUGCUUCUACUCGCUCUGCGAGCUCACCGUCGCCACGCACGGACUUGUUGAGGAGCGCGAGAUGUGCGUCAUGCCAGGCCUGCCGGUGCGCGUGGAGAUGACCAGGGCUACGUGCUCCUCCGCCUUCUUGAACACACCUGCGUGGGAGGCGUUCCAGAAGAACGCCAUGGAGGCUAUUCGCAUGGCCGACGGCGCCGUCGCCAAUACGUUCCUGGACCUCGAGGGGCAGUUCGUGUCGUGCUACGAGGCGGCGCUGGGGAUGCCGGUGUGGGCGCUCGGGCCGUUGUGCCUCAGCACCCGCGACGAGGCGGCCCUGGCGUGCCGGGGGGACAAGGACAAACCCACCGCCGUGGACCAGAGCGCGGUCACCGAAUGGCUCGACGCCAUGUGCACCGGCUCCGUUGUUUAUGCCAGCUUCGGCAGCCUCGUGCGGGUGCUUCACGAGCAGCUGUACGAGGUCGGGCAUGGCCUGGAGGACUCGGGCAGGCCGUUCCUUUGGGUCGUGAAGGAGUCCGAGGUGGCGGCCUCGCCGGAGGUGCUAGAGUGGCUGCCAGCCCUGGAGGCACGCACGGCGGGCCGUGGCCUCGUGGUGCGCGGCUGGGCGCCGCAGCUCGCCAUCUUGUCGCACCGCGCCGUGGGGGCCUUCGUGACACACUGCGGCUGGAACUCGCUGCUGGAGUCGGUCGCACACGGCGUGCCGGUGGUGACGUGGCCACACUUGGCAGACCAGUUCCUGAACGAGCGGCUGGCCGUGGACGUGCUCGGCGUCGGCGUGCCCGUCGGCGCAGCCGUGCCUGACGGCGAGGCCGUGAUGGUGGCGCGCGGAGACAUCGCGCGGGCGGUGUCGGAGCUCAUGGGCGGUGGCGACGUGGCCGAGGAGAGGAGGAGGAAGGCCAAGGAGUACGGCGAGAGAGCUCGCACAGCCAUGGCCAUAGGAGGUUCAUCCUACCAAAACCUGACGCGGCUAAUACAGAGAUUCACGCCGAGUGAUGGCAAUGGCAAGGAACAGUAA